UACGGGGGGGGUAAGCGUUGUUCGGAAUUACUGGGCGUAAAGGGCUCGUAGGCGGCCAACUAAGUCAGACGUGAAAUCCCUCAGCUUAACUGGGGAACUGCGUCUGAUACUGGAUGGCUUGGAUCCGGAAGAGGGAUGCGGAAUUCCAGGUGUAGCGGUGAAAUGCGUAGAUAUCAGGAGGAACACCGGUGGCGAAGGCGGCUUUCUGGGCCUUGCCUGACGCUGAGGAGCGAAAGCUGGGGGAGCGAACAGG
rnacentral:rRNA from 1 species